GGAUGAAGAACGUAGCAAAAUGCGAUACUUGGUGUGAAUUGCAGAAUCCCGUGAAUCAUCGAGUUUUUGAACGCAAGUUGCGCCCGAAGCCUUUCGGCCGAGGGCACGUCUGCCUGGGUGUCACGCAACUGUCGCUUCCAACCCUGUUUCCUCAAUGGAGAGGGCCAUGGAGGCGGAUGCUGGUCUCCCGUGCGCUUUGCGCUCGCGGUUGGCCUAAAUUUUUAGUCCCGGGCGACGAUCGCCACGACAAUCGGUGGUUGAAAGACUCUCUGACGCUGCCGUGAGCGGUCGUUUCCCAAGAGGAACUGUACAGACCCUGCUGCUGUCCUAACUAAGGACUUGCUCCAAUCGCGACCCCAGGUCAGGCGGGACUACCCGCUGAGUUUAAGCAUAUCAAUAAGCGGAGGA
rnacentral:misc_RNA from 1 species